GUAAAUCGUACGAUUUCGCACGACUGCUAACGCAGUACGAUCAAUUAAAGAGUUGUACCAGGCACGCCGUGGGCAGUAGACAAUGAAGCAAGACUGCAUCAACGGCAAUGAGGUCAUGUCCACUUAUCCAUCAACACUUGCAACAGUAGACUGCCUUCAGGAGCUGCAGAAUGAAAAUAUACAGCACAAGAAAUCGGGGGUAGAAACUAUUUUUUUGAGCUCUACAUUUGUCGCUUAGGAACUAAGAGCUCGUUUUUCUUCCUUUAAAAUUCGUACUUGUUGAACGUUCAUGGUCCAAUUCUACAAGCAAUUAUCGGUUUUAAAUGUACCUUUAUUCCCAUAAAAAUAUAUAGGUACAGUAUAUCCCCCCCUUGCUUUUAUAUUUCUUUCGCGAUUUUAGUGGUUUAUGGGCAAUUACUUAAUUUUUCCCUUUCCCACCACAUCAAUGCUUCAUAGCAUUUACAUCUCCAAAUGUAUUGGAUGCUGUGCGCGUGGACACGUUGCGAGUUGUGCAUUCGGAUGACGGAAAAUUAAUGGAUCUCCAGUAACGCAUUAUGCAACACAGCUUUCUUUCUGUAUGACGUACGAUUUGAUAAAAUUGUUUAUUUCCUUUUAGACAAAAUUAUGAAAUCAUUUUCCCGGGGGGGGGGGGGUGUGUGACUCACAACAUGUGCAGUCUGUUUCAAAAACGUGCACUGAUCAAGCACACGUGGCAACCUCACUUUUGUGAGGUUUUGUUAAUAAUGAAAGAUGACGAGUAUGUCUUUGUUUAAAAACGCACCAAUCAUGUUUUUGUUUAAAAUUUCAACAUUUGGCACGAUAAAAUAUAAAUCACUCAUUCAGAUCCCUUUAAAUGACUCCGGGAUCGAGUGGCCGAUGAAUUAAAAUAAUUUUCAGUCAAAAUCAAAAUGCCAACGUCAAAAAACGCUGCCUCUUGUCGCUAGACAGCACGUUACAGUCGCUUAACGAACCCAACGAGACAAACGCCUGUUGAAAAUAUCAAACCAAAAUGGCACCAGUCUUGUCUGGUCACAAACUUGGCUUCCACGUGUGGUGCCAGCCGAUCGCUUCCAUCGCACAAAGUCCACUUAUACUCCCUGAACAAUGAGCUGCAAGCAACAACUUCAAAGGUAAACAGGUUUAAACAACAAAAAUAAAACGCCGUAAAACAAAAGAUAAACCCAAACAAUCAUAAUGCAUAAACAAUUUACUACUGCAAUUAACAACAAUGCAAACUCUUAAUCAAGAAAAACAAUUAAAAACCUAGCAAUAUACAGGUUCUUUCUCUGAGAAAGGAUUCGAACCUUCCCCGUCCUUGAUGGGGACUGCACCCCACACACCCGGCAUUUUGAGUAAACGAGCAUAGAAGUGCUCGAAAAACCUGGCGCGGAAAUAUUUCACUAUUCAUUUCAUGAUCACAUUUUAGCAGAGCAUGACAUGCUUUAAAUGAAUACUGUGGGUAUUGCUUGUGUAAAUAUUUAUUUAGUAUUGUGCAUAAAAAGGCAAAUGUUCAGAUGCCUGUAAAUGUCUCGGUUUUUUUUUAUCAUGCAGAAUCCCCAAUGACGCCAAUGCGAGCUUUAGCUGGUCGUCACCAACAGGAGACGGAAUCUUUUGGUGAUGGAUUCUGGUCCCACAAGGUCAACGGCUCACAGUCCCAAAAGCAUCACCGAAAGAAUAUCUGGAAACAAAAACACACACAUCUCUCAAGUAAAUAAGUAGAUCAACUAUGUUCAGUCCUAACAGUUUGAAAUAGAUAAAAGCGUAAAUCUCCACGUGGUCCGUUUUUAAACUCACAAUCUAGGUUCACAUCUCGUAUGUUGUGUUCAUGAAAUUUGCUAGACUAUGCACUGUGUGCUAAUAAAUCCGCAUGCCGGGCAAUAUAUUGUCUUACUUUAUACCGUGCUGGCUCAUGCAUAGUAGCAGGGAGACACAAGCAGGUCUGUGAGCACCACCAGCUGAUCGUCUGUGAACUGCUGCUUGUGUUCCUGCCAGUUGUCGUGGUGCGUUCGUCGGAAGUUGGUGAGCGUCUUCUUCACCGUCAUCUAAAAAAAGUAAAAUCCACAGUCGCGAGCAAAUGUGUUUAUAGUCUUCAAAAAUGUUAUUCGCUCACAAAAAAUAUAUCUUAACUACAUCUCAAUUCUGUGUUGGCAGCUCAAAAUCGAAGUGGAAAUUCCCCAUUCUUAUUGAACUACUCAAUUGAAAUAUGCAAGCAAUCAUAGCCCCUUCCUGCAAAGACUUGGUAGGUUCCUCCUGAAAAAUGUCAUUGGACUCAGUGAGGCUAUUUUGGGUAAACGAGCAUAAUCAUGAUAAUGUCCACCUCCCAAUAGGGCCAUCGAUCUUAACUAAACACCAGAUGAUAUUAAUGUUAUUGACCCGAGAUGGAUGAUGUGUGGAGUCGAUCCCCCACUGAGACCCAACUCCGUGGCUUGCCAUGUACGAGUCGAGUAAUUUACCACAGCGCUAUUGAGCCGGAUUAUAACUUUACAUUCGGAUCAUUAUGGAGAUAAAAACAGCCAGCACGCAAAGCUAUUCUGAGAUUUCCUUCCGAGCGGAUGUUGUGAUGCUGCAGCCCGCAGAUUACCUCGAUGGGCUGGGGAUCAUUGAGGUGCUGGCUGAGGUCCAUGAGGAGCUGGGGCAUCCAGGUGGGCACCUCGUAGGGGCUAGAGAGGAUGCAAGCGCUCAGCCCGAGCACCCCCGCGUGGCGCCGCACCAGGUCUGCACGAGUCACACACACACACACACACGAGCCUCAGGUCAUCAAUAAAACCUCUGCUUGUGGCAUACAGCAAGUUUUCUUAUUGUCUAUUUUUGUAGAAAAUCCAACCAUUGGUGUUUUUUGUGGAGCUGGAGUAAAAAAAAUGUAUUUGGUUAAUUAUAUUCUCCACAGCGGUCACCAUUCAAAAAGGGUAAUGCUUGUUGUGAUGUUGGCAUUAUCAUUGCGCAGCGUGGCACUGACAAUUAUCUGCCUCACUACGACAAGACAUGGCGAACAGAGCAAACAGAGUGCGUCAACUACACCAAUAAUUAUUGGUGUAGUUAUAAUUAUUGUUGCAACAAACAAUUAGUAUAAUAUAACUGAAAGCGCACCUGUGACAGGUAUGGGCUGGCUCGCCUCCCUGUGACGUCGCUUGGGCAUGCGUGUCUGGCUCAGGCUCUCAAAGUGGCUCUGCAUGGCCUCGUCCAUGUGCAGGAAGCUGCACUGCAGGAGGCCACUCAAGGUAGUGGCCGCCAUCUCCCGCACCUGAGCCAACACCAGUUGCACGCAAGCACGCACGCACUCCACAUUAAUCUGGCUCAAAUGCCCCAAAGGGAAAGUACAAUCAUAUCUUGCGGUGUAUCUGCCAUAUUUUUUUAUGGGAAAAAACGUUUACUGUGGGCGAGUCAAAAAUGCAACAUUAAAAACCACUAUGAAGGCAAAGACCUCCCAUAUAGCCCUUACCGAUUGUUGGGGUAAAUGCUGUUAGUGAGCACCUAUUAAGGCCGGCACAGCACACAAAGUGGUAGGUGGCCAGCACCAUACCGAGCCUUCUUUGUCCAUGCAGUGCUGAUGUUUAUGCAUUGCACUAGGUACUUAUUUCAAGCUGAGUUGUCCUAGGGGAGGUCCAGGACUGGUUCAGAUAUUCAACACCGAUGUUUGCGAGUGGGAAAUUAACUCAGGUAGUCGGAGUGCAAUGCGCUAACCACUAUACUACCACUCCCCACAAUCCACUAUAAACACAGUGGUGUGAAUGCAGAUGCAUUGUAACAUGUUAAUACAAACCAAGCUGUUUGACAGUUCAGCCAAGCGAUAACAAUUCUUGGGAUCAGAUGUAGACAUAAAAUGCCCAUUGGUCACAUUCAGUCGGUCACAAUUACAAGCGUAAUGAUGCUUUGUUGUGAGGCUGCCGCUUGGAUGUUUGUAUACAGAGUUUGUACAACAUGGUAACUUGCCCCGUGAUGGCAGGGCAUGGUGUAUGGAGCAAACACAAAGUGGUGCCUUGCAAAAGCAGUAUCAAGGCUAUUCAUGUUGAACUGGAAAUUU